CACGGGGGGAGCAAGCGUUGUUCGGAAUUACUGGGCGUAAAGCGUGCGUAGACGGUUAUUUAAGUCGGGUGUGAAAGCCCCGGGCUCAACCUGGGAAUUGCAUUCGAGACUGAAUAGCUAGGGUACGGUAGAGGGAAGUGGAAUUUCCGGUGUAGCGGUGAAAUGCGUAGAUAUCGGAAGGAACAUCAGUGGCGAAAGCGACUUCCUGGACCAGUACCGACGUUCAGGCACGAAAGCGUGGGGAGCAAACAGG
rnacentral:rRNA from 1 species